AGAGUUUGAUUAUGGCUCAGAUUGAACGCUGGCGGUAUGCUUAACACAUGCAAGUCGAACGGUAACAUUGGAGCUUGCUCCAGAUGACGAGUGGCGGACGGGUGAGUAACGCGUAGAAAUCUGCCUAGUAGUGGGGGACAACUUGUGGAAACGCAAGCUAAUACCGCAUACGCCCUACGGGGGAAAGCGGGGGAUCUUCGGACCUCGCGCUAUUAGAUGAGUCUGCGUUAGAUUAGCUAGUUGGUGGGGUAAAGGCCUACCAAGGCGACGAUCUAUAGCUGGUCUGAGAGGACGAUCAGCCACACUGGGACUGAGACACGGCCCAGACUCCUACGGGAGGCAGCAGUGGGGAAUAUUGGACAAUGGGCGAAAGCCUGAUCCAGCAAUACCGCGUGUGUGAAGAAGGCCUGAGGGUUGUAAAGCACUUUCAAUUGGGAGGAAAAAGUAACGGCCAAUACCCGUUGCCUUGACAUUACCUUUAGAAGAAGCACCGGCUAACUCCGUGCCAGCAGCCGCGGUAAUACGGAGGGUGCAAGCGUUAAUCGGAAUUACUGGGCGUAAAGCGUACGUAGGCGGUUAUUUAAGUCAGAUGUGAAAGCCCCGGGCUCAACCUGGGAACUGCAUUUGAGACUGGGUGACUAGAGUUUAAUAGAGGAGAGUGGAAUUUCAGGUGUAGCGGUGAAAUGCGUAGAGAUCUGAAGGAACACCAGUGGCGAAGGCGGCUCUCUGGAUUAAAACUGACGCUGAGGUACGAAAGCGUGGGUAGCAAACAGGAUUAGAUACCCUGGUAGUCCACGCCGUAAACGAUGUCAACUAGCCGUUGGGUCUAUAUACAGACUUAGUGGUGCAGCUAACGCAUUAAGUUGACCGCCUGGGGAGUACGGCCGCAAGGUUAAAACUCAAAUGAAUUGACGG
rnacentral:rRNA from 1 species